ACCAGCUGACGAGUCUUAAAUAGGACGAAACGUGCGUCCUGGAU
rnacentral:hammerhead_ribozyme from 1 species